AACGGCUGGCGGCGUGCCUAAUACAUGCAAGUCGAACGGUCUUUCUAUGGAAGCUUGCUCCACUGAAAAGAUAGUGGCGAACGGGUGAGUAACACGUGGGUAACCUGCCCAUAAGAGGGGGAUAACAUCCGGAAACGGGUGCUAAUACCGCAUAGUUUUCUUGAUCGCAUGAUCGGGAAAGGAAAGACGGCCUUUGUGCUGUCGCUUAUGGAUGGACCCGCGGCGUAUUAGUUAGUUGGUGAGGUAACGGCUCACCAAGACGAUGAUACGUAGCCGACCUGAGAGGGUGAUCGGCCACAUUGGGACUGAGACACGGCCCAAACUCCUACGGGAGGCAGCAGUAGGGAAUCUUCCGCAAUGGACGAAAGUCUGACGGAGCAACGCCGCGUGAGUGAAAGAAGGUUUUCGGAUCGUAAAACUCUGUUGUCAGAGAAGAACAAGUUGGAGAGUAACUGCUCCAGCCUUGACGGUAUCUGACCAGAAAGCCACGGCUAACUACGUGCCAGCCGCGGC
rnacentral:rRNA from 1 species